rnacentral:rRNA from 1 species
AGCAAUGGGGAAUAUUGGACAAUGGGCGAAAGCCUGAUCCAGCCAUGCCGCGUGUGUGAAGAAGGUCUUCGGAUUGUAAAGCACUUUAAGUUGGGAGGAAGGGCAGUAAAUUAAUACUUUGCUGUUUUGACGUUACCGACAGAAUAAGCACCGGCUAACUCUGUGCCAGCAGCCGCGGUAAUACAGAGGGUGCAAGCGUUAAUCGGAAUUACUGGGCGUAAAGCGCGCGUAGGUGGUUCGUUAAGUUGGAUGUGAAAUCCCCGGGCUCAACCUGGGAACUGCAUUCAGAACUGACGAGCUAGAGUAUGGUAGAGGGUGGUGGAAUUUCCUGUGUAGCGGUGAAAUGCGUAGAUAUAGGAAGGAACACCAGUGGCGAAGGCGACCACCUGGACUGAUACUGACACUGAGG